AGUCGACGGGGCAGGUAGCAAUAUCUGUCUAGUGGCGAACGGGUGCGUAACACGUGGGCAACAUGCCUGGAAGAGCGGGAUAGCCCGGGGAAACUCGGAUUAAUACCGCAUGUGACAACGGAGCGGCUUCGCUCUGUUUUCAAAGGUGGGGACCGCAAGGCCUGCCGCUUCCAGAUUGGCCCGCGUCCUAUCAGCUAGUUGGCGGGGUAAAAGCCCACCAAGGCGACGACGGGUAGCUGGUCUGAGAGGACGACCAGCCACACUGGAACUGAGACACGGUCCAGACACCUACGGGUGGCAGCAGUCGAGAAUCUUUCACAAUGGGGGAAACCCUGAUGGAGCGACGCCGCGUGGAGGAUGAAGGUCUUCGGAUUGUAAACUCCUGUCAUGAAAGAACAAGCGAUGCGGGUCAACAGCCCGCAAAGUUGAUAGUAUUUCAAGAGGAAGGGACGGCUAACUUCGUGCCAGCAGCCGCGGUAAUACGAAGGUCCCAAGCGUUGUUCGGAAUCACUGGGCGUAAAGAGUGCGUAGGCGGCGCGGAAAGUCAGAUGUGAAAUCCCGGGGCUCAACCCCGGAACGGCAUCCGAUACUCCCGCGCUUGAGGACUGGAGGGGAGUCUGGAAUUCACGGUGUAGCAGUGAAAUGCGUAGAUAUCGUGAGGAACACUAGUGGCGAAGGCGAGACUCUGGACAGUUCCUGA
rnacentral:rRNA from 1 species